AAAUUGAAGAGUUUGAUCAUGGCUCAGAUUGAACGCUGGCGGCAGGCCUAACACAUGCAAGUCGAACGGUAACAGGAAGCAGCUUGCUGCUUCGCUGACGAGUGGCGGACGGGUGAGUAAUGUCUGGGAAACUGCCUGAUGGAGGGGGAUAACUACUGGAAACGGUGGCUAAUACCGCAUAACGUCGCAAGACCAAAGAGGGGGACCUUCGGGCCUCUUGCCAUCAGAUGUGCCCAGAUGGGAUUAGCUUGUUGGUGAGGUAACGGCUCACCAAGGCGACGAUCCCUAGCUGGUCUGAGAGGAUGACCAGCCACACUGGAACUGAGACACGGUCCAGACUCCUACGGGAGGCAGCAGUGGGGAAUAUUGCACAAUGGGCGCAAGCCUGAUGCAGCCAUGCCGCGUGUAUGAAGAAGGCCUUCGGGUUGUAAAGUACUUUCAGCGGGGAGGAAGGUGUUGCGGUUAAUAACCGCAGCAAUUGACGUUACCCGCAGAAGAAGCACCGGCUAACUCCGUGCCAGCAGCCGCGGUAAUACGGAGGGUGCAAGCGUUAAUCGGAAUUACUGGGCGUAAAGCGCACGCAGGCGGUCUGUCAAGUCGGAUGUGAAAUCCCCGGGCUCAACCUGGGAACUGCAUUCGAAACUGGCAGGCUUGAGUCUUGUAGAGGGGGGUAGAAUUCCAGGUGUAGCGGUGAAAUGCGUAGAGAUCUGGAGGAAUACCGGUGGCGAAGGCGGCCCCCUGGACAAAGACUGACGCUCAGGUGCGAAAGCGUGGGGAGCAAACAGGAUUAGAUACCCUG
rnacentral:rRNA from 1 species